CAGUAGCCGCCACGGUAAUACGAAGGGUGCAAGCGUUACUCGGAAUUACUGGGCGUAAAGCGUGCGUAGGUGGUGGUUUAAGUCCGUUGUGAAAGCCCUGGGCUCAACCUGGGAAUUGCAGUGGAUACUGGGUCACUAGAGUGUGGUAGAGGAUAGUGGAAUUUCCGGUGUAGCAGUGAAAUGCGUAGAGAUCGGAAGGAACAUCUGUGGCGAAGGCGACUAUCUGGGCCAACACUGACACUGAGGCACGAAAGCGUGGGGAGCAAACAGGAUUAGAUACCCGGGUAGUCCCUGUCUCUUA
rnacentral:rRNA from 1 species